GAGCGUGCGUUGCGUUUAAGUGACUUUAAGGUGAGGCUGGCUCUCUGCGGAAGGGCUCGGGAAAGCCGGUUUUUCGGAGUUGGCGAGAAGUUUGUUUAUAAAAUUUUAACGCGUUUAAGGCAGCAGGGGAUGGCCAGCACCGCGUGGUGUCCGUGCUGCCCGCCUGACAGGUUUCGUUUUUGACAAAAAACUUGUUUCCAGGAGAAUCCCGUGGCGAGCCGUGCUGAUCUGAUGCUCCUCAGCCUUAUGGCCAGUGGUGCGAGAACAAAAGCAGCUGCUUGGUGGUUUUGAAAGCGAAAUGACACGCCCUGAACGUGCCCUUCCCGGGAGCUGUGGAGAUCAGGGCAUGAGGGGAAGAUUCCUGGUGGAGAUCAGGCCUGGAGAUCAGGGCAUGAAGGGAAAAAUUCCUGGUGAAUAUCAGGGCAUGAAGGGAAAAAUUCCUGGUGAAUAUCAGGGCAGCCCUGGGAAGCGUUUUGGGUGUUCCUGAAGCUCCAGUUCAUCCAAGUGCAUUUUGGUGCCAGUUGAAGGAAGGUGCCAGGCGUGGAUCCUGAAAAGUGGUUUUUUGGGAAAGCCUCUGCAAGGAGCAGGAAUGUGCCUGGGUGUGUGUGAGAGGUGGGGGCACAGCUGCAGUGGGACAUGUGGGUUUGGUGGUGUUUUACAGCAGUGGAGCUGUUUGAUGGUCACUCCUCAGAGGCAGCGUGUUCAUUUCAUCCAAAACAAUGGCAGUAAAGGAGAGGAGAGCAGAGCCUGCCCAGGAAAGCUGGGGCUGCCCCUGGCAGUGCUCCAGGCCAGGCUGGAGAGGGCUUGGAGCACCUGGGACAGUGGAAGGUGUCCCUGCCAUGGCAGGGUGGGAUGGGAUGAGCUUUGUGUCCCUUCCACCCAAACCACUCUGGGUUCUGUGAUGUAGCUCUCAAGAUAAUUUAGAGUCAGCUCUGAAGGAUCAUUCCAAGAUCUGCUGGACUGACAGAUCUUUCCCAGGAUUCCCAGGGCUGGGGGGUGUGGCAGGAGGGAUGUCUGGCAGGGGAGACUGAGCUGUGCCCUGACUGUGUGUCACAGCUGGCACUCCCACAGGGCCCCUCCCUGAGCUCCGUGCCCGUGUGGGGCCAUCUGCUGGGCUUGGGGCUGGCUGGGGAGGCAGCUGGGAGCUGCAUGGCCUGCUGAGGGUGAGGAGCUGGCACACAUCACACAUCCUCCUGGCUUUGUGUUCCUCAGCUCUUGGAAAAUGCCAGCUCCUUUGUUUGGAGGAAUUGUUUUCUUUUGGUAGUUCAGUUUAUAGUCACCAUUUGGUUGUGGGUCUUCAUGACAUGUGUCCUGAACAUCUGAGAAUUGACUUUUGUCAUUUUUUCAUUUAUAACAGACAGGGAAAGGGGCAGAAACAUCCCCAAGCCUCUCAUAGCCACUGAUGAUGUAGCUGUUGGUUUGUUUGCCAAUUAACUGUGUUUUCCCAAAGGAUAAACACCCAGGGCACACCAAAUCAUUUCAUGGUGUGUGAGCACUGGGGAGGCUUCAGGGGUGGGGAAGGGGCCAGAAGAGGCCACCAAGGUGAUCAGAGGGCUGCAGCAGCUCUCCUGUGGGGAAGGGCUGAGAGAGCUGGGAAGGUUCAUCCUGGAGAAGAGAAGGCUUUGGGGUGAUCUCAUUGUGGCCUUGCAGUGCCUGAAGAGAGUCUGCAGGAAAAGUGGAGAGCAUGGAGGGACAGGACACAGGGAAUGGCUCCCACUGCCAGGGCAGGCAUGGAUGGGACAUGGGGAAGGAAUUCUUCCCUGUGAGGAUGGUGAAGCCCUCCACAGGCUGCCCAGAGCAGCUGUGGCUGCCCCUGGAUCCCAGGGAGUGAGCAGGAGGGAAAGAGAAGGAAUCUGCCCCUCUGCUCCAGUUUCCUGAGACCCCGCUGGAGUGUUGUGUCCAGCUCUGGGGCCCCCAAAGUCAGGAGGUGGAGCUGCUGGAGCGAGUCCAGAGGAAAUCAGGGAGAUGCUGCAAGGGCUGGAGCCAGGCUGGGGUGCUCAUGUGGAGAGGAGCAGGGAAUGGCUCCCACUGCCAGAGGGCAGGGAUGGAUGGAAUAAUGGGAAGGAAUUCCUGGCUGGGAGGGUGGUGAGGCCCUGGCACAGGGUGCCCAGAGCAGCUGUGGCUGCCCCUGGAUCCCUGGAAUUGGGUGGGCCUUGGAGCAGCCUGGGAUGAUGGAAGGUGUCCCUGCCCAUGGGAGUGGAACAAGAUGAGCUUUGAGGUCCCUUCCAACCCAAACCAUUCUGGGAUCCUCUCAAGGCCGCCUCUGAAGUGUUGAUAUUUAACGCCUGAAGCUGCAGAAAUUUGCAUAUUUUAGAAAACAUUUAGAAGCCGUCAAAGACUUGGUGUCUCUUCCAUUUUCUCCGGGUGCUAUGUUGGGUAGUUCCACUUAUGUGGGCAGCAGUGCUGUUGUGGAUGAGGUGGUGCUGGCAGGAAUUAGUCAUGUUGGAGUGACAAAGGAACCUCUCUGCCGAGGCAGCCGUGCCACCCAGUGGAAAUGCAGCACAGCCUCUUGCAUAUCCAGAAAACCUUCUUCUGUCUUUGAAAGAUCAUCUUGGAGACAGGAACUAAAUCUGGCGCAUCAAGUGUUGGAAUAAUGUCAUACAACUCAAAAAAAAAAAUAGGAAAGCAGUUGAUGCUUAGUUUUGGGUUAGAAAAAGUGCUUUGGAUGGCUCUUCCUAAUGAGGGUCUGUAAGGACUGAUGGUGGGUAAAAGCCAGGAAAGGCAAAAGCAUGGGGAAAAUUGCUACUGCACCCACAGUUUCAGUGAGAUGGAUGCAAUCCAAGAGGGUUUGGAGCUGAAAAAACCAGCGUGGAGCUGGUUUGUUGUGGAAGCUGUGCGGUAGGACGGAUUUAGCACGGCUCACGUAGCACCAGGCGUUUCACAGACCUCCCUGGGAGUCACCCCCUGGUUGUGAAGGCUUUGGAAGAACUCUACUGCCAGAGCUGGGUUGGAAUUGUGCUUCCCAGCCUUUCUCUCUUCCCAGUGCAGCCUGGCCCAUCUCACCUUCCUGCUGGUGAUUUCUGGGAGCAGCUCAUGGAGAGGAAAUCCAGGAGGCCUUGGCCUGUGCCUGAAGGUUUUGCAGGGUGUCAUUUCUGGGCAGGUGCAGUGAACUCCUUCCUGUCCCUCAUGGCUCUUCAGGAUAAAGGGUGAGAGGGACUCAGCUCCUGGCAGCCUUGUUUUUGCAGGCAUUGAUCAUCUCCCUCCCUCCCUUCAGUCUGGUGCUCUGAGGUGGCUGAAGGUGCUGCCCUGACCACAGAGCUGGAGCUGGCAGGUUCCCUGGGAAGCCAGAGAUGAUUCCAGGGGGCGUUGGCCUUCAGAAAACAAAGGGAAUCUUAUCUUACAGCACAGUGGAUGCAAGCAGGACUUCACUGUGAAUGCUGCCAGCUCUGUUGUCUGUCUGCUCCCUGCCAAGUGACUUUAACUCCUGAGCCCUCCUUCCAUUUGUUCUUCCUUCAUCCCAACUGCAGGGAGGAUAAUUUGGAGUAGAGUUUGAAUGUGGCAGAAGGAAUGUCUGUUACACGAAUGGGUUUCUGUGCUGAUAUCAGUGCUUGUGCACCAGGAAAGCUUCAAGGGAUAAUUGGUUCAUUCUAAUGACUCUAAAAAUCCCAUCAAGCCACCAUUCAGUGUGGGGGGUUUUUUCCUAAAAUCUUGAGCCCAUGUGUGAUCUGGAGGGACUUUAAAAUUUAGUUACUUGGAGGUCUGACACUGUCUCUGAGUCUGAUUGGUGAGCAUGUGAAUGCCUUGGGCAAUAAUUGUAAUAAUAUCAUUGAUAUUCCUGUAGGGUUUUGACUGGAAUUCUGUAGCUAGUGUUGAACAACCUGAAUGGAAUAUAGAUUCCAGAUUUAAGUACAGAUGAGUUCAUAUGUUGUCUGAAUGUUAGGGGUAAUUUCGGUUUCUUUUUUGUGAGAUGAAGGUGGCAGUAGCCAGAUUAAAUGUCUGUUUAAAAAACAUCCCUGAAAUAGGGCAUCCUUUCUGCAAGAGGAUCCUUGACAUGCUUGGCAUGGGCUCAGUUAUCCCAAAUGUUGCCAGCAAAUGUUGCUCUUGUCUGCUUGCCAAAGUAAAAAAGCCACUAAAUCUCAUUAUAAGCUAUGCUUAACUAGUUUUUUUUCCUUCUUUUUCUUUUUUUUU